AUUGAACGCUGGCGGCAUGCCUUACACAUGCAAGUCGAACGGCAGCGGACCUUCGGGUGCCGGCGAGUGGCGAACGGGUGAGUAAUGCAUCGGAACGUACCUUUCAGUGGGGGAUAACGUAGCGAAAGUUACGCUAAUACCGCAUAUUCUGUGAGCAGGAAAGCAGGGGAUCGCAAGACCUUGCGCUGAUUGAGCGGCUGAUGUCAGAUUAGCUAGUUGGUGAGGUAAAGGCUCACCAAGGCGACGAUCUGUAGCGGGUCUGAGAGGAUGAUCCGCCACACUGGGACUGAGACACGGCCCAGACUCCUACGGGAGGCAGCAGUGGGUAAUUUUGGACAAUGGGGGCAACCCUGAUCCAGCCAUGCCGCGUGAGUGAAGAAGGCCUUCGGGUUGUAAAGCUAUUUCGGCCGGGAAGAAAUCGCACAGGCUAAUACCUUGUGUGGAUGACGGUACCGGAAUAAGAAGCACCGGCUAACUACGUGCCAGCCGCCGCAGUAAAAC
rnacentral:rRNA from 1 species